UACGGAGGGUGCAAGCGUUAUCCGGAUUUACUGGGUUUAAAGGGUGUGUAGGCGGGCUUUUAAGUCAGUGGUGAAAUCUCCGGGCUCAACCUGGAAACUGCCAUUGAUACUAUUAGUCUUGAAUUUUGUUGAGGUAGGCGGAAUAAGUCAUGUAGCGGUGAAAUGCAUAGAUAUGACUUAGAACACCAAUUGCGAAGGCAGCUUGCUAAACAAAUAUUGACGCUGAGGCACGAAAGCGUGGGGAGUCAAACAGGA
rnacentral:rRNA from 1 species